AUGUAAAAAGCUAAUUGCUGCAUUUUUAAAUAAAUGUAGAGGAAAGUCCGUGCUCACACUAACUGUGAUGUUAGUAGUGUUUGUGUAUGUAUAAUUAAUAAAGCAUAGCAUAGGCGUAUGACGGCGAAUUUUUUAAGCUAAGUAAUUUUCUAUUAUAUGUUUAAAAAUUCACAAAGUGCCACAGAGACGAUUAAUCAAGAAAUUGAUGAGAUGAAACGUUGGUAAACCCCACAAGUGAGAAACCUAAAUUUUGGUAAGGGAAUCUAAUUUAGUAAAUUAAGAAAUUAAAUUAGGAUAGAAUAAACUUUAUUCUAUAGAUAAAUAAUUAGCACUACAUUUUUGUAGAACAGAACACGGCUUAUUUUUAC
rnacentral:RNase_P_RNA from 8 species